UACGUAGGGUGCAAGCGUUAAUCGGAAUUACUGGGCGUAAAGCGUGCGCAGGCGGUUAUGUAAGACAGAUGGGAAAUCCCCGGGCUCAACCUGGGAACUGCAUUUGUGACUGCAUAGCUGGAGUACGGUAGAGGGGGAUGGAAUUCCGCGUGUAGCAGUGAAAUGCGUAGAUAUGCGGAGGAACACCGAUGGCGAAGGCAAUCCCCUGGACCUGUACUGACGCUCAUGCACGAAAGCGUGGGGAGCAAACAGG
rnacentral:rRNA from 1 species